UACGUAGGGUGCAAGCGUUGUCCGGAAUUAUUGGGCGUAAAGAGCUCGUAGGCGGUCUGUCACGUCGGAUGUGAAAACUCGGGGCUCAACCCCGAGCCUGCAUACGAUACGGGCAGACUUGAGUUCGGCAGGGGAGACUGGAAUUCCUGGUGUAGCGGUGAAAUGCGCAGAUAUCAGGAAGAACACCAAUGGCGAAAGCAGCUCUCUGGGACGGUACUGACGCUGAGACGCGAAAGCGUGGGGAGCGAACAGG
rnacentral:rRNA from 1 species